rnacentral:rRNA from 1 species
GCAUAUAUGGGGGGCACCUGAUCAGCAUGCCGCGUGUGUGAAGAAGGCCUUCGGGUUGUAAAGCACUUUUAUCCGGAACGAAACGUGCUGGGUGAAUACCCCCGUGUACUGACGGUACCUGAGGAAUAAGCACCGGCUAACUUCGUGCCAGCAGCCGCGGUAAUACGAAGGGUGCAAGCGUUACUCGGAAUUACUGGGCGUAAAGGGUGCGUAGGUGGUUUUUUAAGUCUGCUGUGAAAUCCCCGGGCUCAACCUGGGAAUGGCAGUGGAUACUGGAAAGCUGGAGUGCGGUAGAGGGUAGUGGAAUUCCCGGUGUAGCAGUGAAAUGCGUAGAGAUCGGAAGGAACACCAGUGGA